CUUGUACUCCCUCCGUCCGUAAAUACUUGUCAUUGAAAUGGAUGUAUCUAGAUGUAUUUUAGUUCUAGACACAUCCAUUUUGAUGACAAGUAAUUCCAGACGGAGGGAGUACUUG
rnacentral:pre_miRNA from 1 species